rnacentral:rRNA from 1 species
AUGCCACUGCUCUACUGGGCCGGCCCCAACCGCCGCCACUUGCAAAAAAACGGGCGGAGGGAGGAACGUCGUCUUCCACCUCUCGCGCCCGAGCACAGUGGGCAUCGUCGGCGAAUGCCGGCGCCACAAGGCACCUCCGACGACGCCCCGCCUAUGUACGAGCUCGGCAAGGAGAGGCGCAUCCAAUGGUCGGUGGCACGGACGCCGGGGACCAUCGGAGCAGUGGCUACGCUGCCCGCGGCGGACGGCGAUUCGGGCGACAACGGGCUUGGCGCUACGGUGACAGAGAGGGAGGGGUGA